GUGGCUGGCGGCUAGGUGCCUUCUACUGGUGCUGUGCAGAGGCUUUCCCUAAGGCUGCUGUGAGCCUGUAGGGUUUCCCCCUAGGCUACUAAGCUGG
rnacentral:pre_miRNA from 1 species